AACAAGAUGAAGGCUAUGAUAUAUUAAGUUUUGAAGAAAAUCUCUCAAAUUGAUAACUUUUUUUCAAGAGUUUUUGAGUUUUAUUUCAGAAUCUUGCAUUUAACCCAAUUACUCAAAAUUAAUUACCUUAUAUGAUAUUAAAUUAGAAAAUCAUAUGAAUAUUUGCUUUUUUUUAUUUCAAUUUUGUUGUGGUUUAACAUCCAAUUAUAUCUUUUUGUUUAUUUCAUAUUUCAUAAGAUAAAGAGCAAAAUUAAGAUCUCGGAUAUAUAUAUACAUAUUCUUUCUAGCUUGUUAUUGUUUAAAUCAUUAUUUUGCAUGG
rnacentral:lncRNA from 1 species